UUGAUCCCGCCGGAGGUUACUGCUAUCGAGGUUCGACUAAGCCAUGCGAGUCGAAUGUAGCAAUACAUGGCGUACUGCUCAGUAACACGUGGACAACCUACCCUUAGGUCGGGGAUAAGCCCGGGAAACUGGGUAUAAUACCCGAUAGAUCUUGACUGCUGGAAUGCAUUGAGAUCGAAAGCUCCGGCGCCUAAGGAUGGGUCUGCGGCCUAUCAGGUAGUAGUGGGUGUAGCGUACCUACUAGCCUACGACGGGUACGGGUUGUGAGAGCAAGAGCCCGGAGACGGAUUCUGAGACACGAAUCCAGGCCCUACGGGGUGCAGCAGGCGCGAAAACUUUACAAUGCUGGAAACAGCGAUAAGGGGACCUCGAGUGCCAGGUUACAAAUCUGGCUGUCGUGAUGCCUAAAAAGCAUUGCAUAGCAAGGGCCGGGCAAGACCGGUGCCAGCCGCCGCGGUAACACCGGGCGGGCUCGAGUGGUAACCGUUAUUAUUGGGUCCUAAAGGGUCUGUAGCCGGGCGGAUAAAGUCUCUUGGGAAAUCCCAGCAGCUCAACUGUUGGGGCUUUUCAGGAGAUACUGUCUUGGCUCGAGGCUCGGGGAGAGGUGAGAGGUACUUUCAGGGGUAGGGGUGAAAUCUUGGUAAUCUCUUGAAGGGACCACCAGUGGGCGAAGGGGGUCUCAACCAGAACGGGACCUGACGGGCANGGGACGAAAGCUAGGGGGCACGAANCGGAUUAGAUACUCCGGGUAGUCUANCCGUAAACGAUACUCGCUAG
rnacentral:rRNA from 1 species